rnacentral:rRNA from 1 species
UACGAAGGGGCUAGCGUUGCUCGGAAUUACUGGGCGUAAAGCGCACGUAGGCGGAUUGUUAAGUCGGGGUGAAUCCUGGAGCUCAACUCCAGAACUGCCUUCGAUACUGGCGAUCUCGAGUUCGGGAGAGGUGAGUGGAACUGCGAGUGUAGAGGUGAAAUUCGUAGAUAUUCGCAAGAACACCAGUGGCGAAGGCGGCUCACUGGCCCGAUACUGACGCUGAGGUGCGAAAGCGUGGGAGCAA